rnacentral:rRNA from 1 species
AACGAACGCUGGCGGCAUGCCUAACACAUGCAAGUCGAACGGGACCUUCGGGUCUAGUGGCGCACGGGUGCGUAACGCGUGGGAACCUGCCCUUAGGUUCGGAAUAACUCCCCGAAAGGGGUGCUAAUACCGGAUAAUGUCUUCGGACCAAAGAUUUAUCGCCUUUGGAUGGGCCCGCGUUGGAUUAGCUAGUUGGUAGGGUAAAAGCCUACCAAGGCGACGAUCCAUAGCUGGUCUGAGAGGAUGAUCAGCCACACUGGGACUGAGACACGGCCCAGACUCCUACGGGAGGCAGCAGUGGGGAAUAUUGGACAAUGGGCGAAAGCCUGAUCCAGCAAGGCCGCGUGAGUGAUGAAGGCCUUAGGGUUGUAAAGCUCUUUUACCCGGGAUGAUAAUGACAGUACCGGGAGAAUAAGCUCCGGCUAACUCCGUG